GAGGCGAAGGUUGGGGACCUCGAGAAGAGGCUCAAGGAGCUGAAACUCGAAGUGAAUGAGGAGAGGGCGAAGGCUGCCACCAAGGAGGAGGAGAUUUCGGCCCUCGAGCUGAGGGUGAAGAAAUUGGAGGAGCAGGUCACUCUCUCGAGGGAGGAGAAUCGGAAUCUUGUGGUGGAGGUGAGAUGUGCGAAGGAAAAUGAGGCGGCUCUUAACGGGCGUAUCAAGAAGCUGCUUGAUAUGGUGACUGAGCUGG
rnacentral:misc_RNA from 1 species